UGUGAACGUUACCAAACUGUUGCCUCGGCGGGAUCUCUGCCCCGGGUGCGUCGCAGCCCCGGACCAAGGCGCCCGCCGGAGGACCAACCUAAAACUCUUAUUGUAUACCCCCUCGCGGGUUUUUUUUUAUAAUCUGAGCCUUCUCGGCGCCUCUCGUAGGCGUUUCGAAAAUGAAUCAAAACUUUCAACAACGGAUCUCUUGGUUCUGGCAUCGAUGAAGAACGCAGCGAAAUGCGAUAAGUAAUGUGAAUUGCAGAAUUCAGUGAAUCAUCGAAUCUUUGAACGCACAUUGCGCCCGCCAGUAUUCUGGCGGGCAUGCCUGUCCGAGCGUCAUUUCAACCCUCGAACCCCUCCGGGGGGUCGGCGUUGGGGAUCGGCCCUCCCUUAGCGGGUGGCCGUCUCCGAAAUACAGUGGCGGUCUCGCCGCAGCCUCUCCUGCGCAGUAGUUUGCACACUCGCAUCGGGAGCGCGGCGCGUCCACAGCCGUUAAACACCCAACUUCUGAAAUGUUGACCUCGGAUCAGGUAGGAAUACCCGCUGAACUUAAGCAU
rnacentral:rRNA from 1 species